ACAGUGGAAUUAAAAUUAACAACUUAAGAAAAAAAUAAUAAAACUAAACAUAAGUAAACAGUAAGUUAAAACUGAAGAUUACUUAACUUAGUUAUUAAGUAACCUUUUGUUCAUUCAAAACAACAUUACUCAUUCUGAUUACCACAAGAAGACUCACAAAAAAAUCAAGCAUAACAUUCCAGGCGAAGCUUUAAUCUUCAACUAAGCACAUUCUCUGGAAUCUCACGAGAGACUAAGUCUGAGAUAUAUUUUAUGUUAGUUUAUCACCCUUAAGCCCUUAAUUAGCAUGAGGUCUCACAGAGUUACUAGAUGAGAAGGUCAUUUUAAAAAUUACUUAGAGUUACUGCAUGGUUCUUGUAAAAAAUAAAUGGAAAAGAGGUGAUAGGAGGGAAAUCUAGGACUGGGUCACCUGGAAUCCCAGCAGGUUUGACAUAAGUGUGCACACAGUCUCUGAAUACUGCUGACAGGCGCAAAGGCGGUCGGGGAGGCAUGGAUUCUUCUCCUGGCUCUGCCUGUAAGAUAUGUUGUAUUCACGGGAAGGUACCUGGACAACUUCUCAGGGUUACACAGAGGGGUUGCCCACACCUGCCUCCCCUCACCCCGAUCCACAGCACUACCUGCUACAGACAGGAAGAGGAAUUAAAAGGCUAUGUUCCGAGGCCAGAAUGUUAGAGAAGAUUCCAAAAGAAGAGCAGAUUGCUACCCAUAAAACUAAGCAACGUCAACGUGGAAUUACUGGAAGAAUCCGAAAGUCUUUGCAGAAAUGCUGUGCUUACUCCAAUGUUUCUCAAAAACCAGCUAUUUUAAAGGGACCAGGGUCAAUAUAA
rnacentral:lncRNA from 1 species